rnacentral:snoRNA from 1 species
GGGUCUAUGAUGAGAAACCUACGUCCUGAAGAGAGGUGAUGACAUAAAAA